rnacentral:rRNA from 1 species
UACGGAAGGUGCAAGCGUUGUUCGGAUUGACUGGGCGUAAAGAGCACGUAGGCGGGCUCGUAUGUCGAUUGUGAAAGCCCCGGGCUUAACCCGGGAAUUGCAGUCGAAACUGCGAGUCUUGAAUGCCCGAGAGGUUAGUGGAAUUCCAGGUGUAGGAGUGAAAUCCGUAGAUAUCUGGAGGAACACCGGAGGCGAAGGCGGCUAACUGGUGGUGCAUUGACGCUGAGGUGCGAAAGCGUGGGGAGCAAACAGG